AACGAACGCUGGCGGCAUGCCUAACACAUGCAAGUCGAACGAGACCUUCGGGUCUAGUGGCGCACGGGUGCGUAACGCGUGGGAAUCUGCCCUUGGGUUCGGGAUAACAGUUGGAAACGACUGCUAAUACCGGAUGAUGACUUCGGUCCAAAGAUUUAUCGCCCAGGGAUGAGCCCGCGUCGGAUUAGCUAGUUGGUGAGGUAAGAGCUCACCAAGGCGACGAUCCGUAGCUGGUCUGAGAGGAUGAUCAGCCACACUGGGACUGAGACACGGCCCAGACUCCUACGGGAGGCAGCAGUGGGGAAUAUUGGACAAUGGGCGAAAGCCUGAUCCAGCAAUGCCGCGUGAGUGAUGAAGGCCUUAGGGUUGUAAAGCUCUUUUACCCGGGAUGAUAAUGACAGUACCGGGAGAAUAAGCCCCGGCUAACUCCG
rnacentral:rRNA from 1 species